GACUGUCACUCCGCUACAUACACAAGGAGAGCGGGAGAUCAGGAAGUGCUUGUGAGUUGGUCAACUCGAGUGUCCGCGAGAUGAAACACCAGUGGCAAAAUUCAGAUUAAUUAGACCGGGCUGCCAGGGUUAGCCACUGAAAAGGAAAAUUGUCAAUUUUACACUUAAACGGACUGCAUAGGCACACACACACACCAAUGGGAUUCUAACAGACGGUGUGUCCCUUAAAUAACGCUGGACGCCUUCAAUUUCUGCAUGAGGAAAUUCAGUGUUAGUGAAAACCCCAUUUGCUUGUCGAUUAAAUUCCCCAUUAAGAUGAUCUCAGAGGAUGUGCUGAACGGAAGUUUUUUUUUUUUAACCCUUUAAAUGUGGGGGGCGGAGGAUGAACAACAUAUCCAAAAAUCACCUAUAUC